GAUGAACGCUGGCGGCGUGCCUAACACAUGCAAGUCGAACGGAGUCCAGCCUUUAAGACCUUCGGGUCAAAGAGGGGAAGACUGAGUGGCGGACGGGUGAGUAACACGUGGGCAACCUGGCUCAUAGAGGGGGAUAACAGAGAGAAAUUUCUGCUAAUACCGCAUAAGCACACACUGCCGCAUGGCAGAGGGUGAAAAGAGAAUCGCUAUGAGAUGGACCCGCGUCUGAUUAGCCAGUUGGCAGGGUAAGAGCCUACCAAAGCGACGAUCAGUAGCCGAUCUGAGAGGAUGAACGGCCACAUUGGGAAUGAGGCACGGCCCAAACUCCUACGGGAGGCAGCAGUGGGGGAUAUUGCACAAUGGGGGGAACCCUGAUGCAGCGACGCCGCGUGAGUGAAGAAGUAUUUCGGUAUGUAAAGCUCUAUCAGCAGGGAAGAUAAUGACAGUACCUGAAGAAGAAGCCCCGGCUAACUACGUG
rnacentral:rRNA from 1 species